rnacentral:rRNA from 1 species
UACGAAGGGUGCAAGCGUUACUCGGAAUUACUGGGCGUAAAGCGUGCGUAGGUGGUGCGUUAUGUCUGUCGUGAAAUCCCCGGGCUCAACCUGGGAAUGGCGAUGGAUACUGGCGCGCUAGAGUGAGGUAGAGGAGAGUGGAAUUCCUGGUGUAGCGGUGAAAUGCGUAGAUAUGUGGAGGAACACCAGUGGCGAAGGCGGCUUCCUGGACUAAAACUGACACUGAGGCACGAAAGCGUGGGUAGCAAACAGG